rnacentral:tRNA from 1 species
AAGGCUUUAAGUUAAAAAAACUAAUAGCCUUCAAAGCUAUAAAUAUAAGA